AAAAUCAAAACAUCUACAAUGGUGAUAGUAAUAUUAAUAAUAAAAUAAUAGUCAGUGCAAAGUAGCCUGCAAAUUACUUGGUGUGGGGGGAGGGACCUGGAUAUGGGAUGGGGCUGCUGGCCAGAAAAAGGUUGAGAAACUGAUUUAGUUGGAAAUGUUCCAUGUUCUAAAUUACUUGCAAAAACAUUGUCUGAAAGGACUCUUAUUUAAUGUUGAGGGAUUUUUGCCUGUAAGGCAAACCUUUAGGGCACAGACAUUUUACAUUUUGUUUUGAGUUGAAAUGUACUGAAGUCUUAUUUAAGUUUGAGUGUUUAGCUUGUUAAUUGUAUUGUUAGAAGCAAUUGUUUGCACUAUUCAAAGACACUUUUUAUUAAACUGUGGCAAUAGCAACGCUAUAGUUCAUUUCUAUCACCACUAUAAGUUUCAGGCUCAGGAUGUUUUUUUACUUUAAGCCCUGUAAUACAUUCAAAUCAAAUAUU